rnacentral:lncRNA from 1 species
GUUCUGGGCUGGCCUGCGCGCCCUCGUGCGCCGCGCGCUGCCAAUCGGAGGCGGAGGAGGAGCGUCAGGGCCGGUUCGAACGUUAGUCCCGCGGAGCAGGCUCUUAAAGGGGGCGACGGCUGGCGGCCACCGAGCAGUGCCGGUGGGGCCUGGAAUCGGCGGAGCUGGGGCAUGGGGGCUCGCAGUGGUGUUUGUAGUUAAAGAUUCUGGGUUGUGUGCUGGCUUGCCAGAACCAAAGCGAAUGGAACCUUUGAACUUUCAUCUGAGUGUGGUGGUGGACUCUGCUCCACCAUAAAGUCCUGAUCCUUCCCAGGUCAACGGUGCCCUCCCUGCCUUGCCACCAUUUCCAGCUAUACACACCGUAAACCUAGGCCCCUCUAUUUUCUGACAAAAAUAGAGAUGAUGGCAAUACGCGGCAGGAGAUACGAAACGGUAUUACCACAGGGCAUUUGGCAGGUAUUUGUGGAAGAGCCCCUUGCCCACUGGAGUCACACACUCUUAGGAGCUAAUGAUUCUAACCUCAAAGAAAAGGGGGAUUCUAGAAGUUCUCAACUUUCUGGCCUCUUAUCAAGGAAUUCUAUCAAGGUCCAAUGUUAUUGGUUCUCCACUAAAGUCAGCAUCUGUCACUUGUUCCCUAGAAUGUAGAACAAACCCAGUUGCCAGUUAAAUGGAAGAUGUUACAUGUUUCUCCACAGCGAUUUUUCUUCGACGCAAGAACUGAC